rnacentral:rRNA from 1 species
UGAGUGACCUGCCGAUUUGUGGGGGAUAGCCGGGCCAACGCCCGGGUAAUACCGCAUACGCUCUUCUUGGGGCAUCUCUAGAAGAGGAAACCUCCGGGCAAAUCGAGGGACUCGCGGCCUAUCAGCUAGUUGGCGAGGUAACGGCUCACCAAGGCUACGACGGGUAGCUGGUCUGAGAGGAUGGCCAGCCACAUUGGGACUGAGAUACGGCCCAGACCUCCGUACGGGAGGCAGCAGG